rnacentral:rRNA from 1 species
AGUGAACGCUGGCGGUAGGCCUAACACAUGCAAGUCGAACGGCAGCACAGUAAGAGCUUGCUCUUACGGGUGGCGAGUGGCGGACGGGUGAGGAAUACAUCGGAAUCUACUUUUUCGUGGGGGAUAACGUAGGUAAACUUACGCUAAUACCGCAUACGACCUACGGUUGAAAGCAUUGGAUCUUCGGACCUUGCGCGAUUGAAUGAGCCGAUGUCGGAUUAGCUAGUUGGCGGGGUAAAGGCCCACCAAGGCGCCGAUCCGUAGCUGGUCUGAGAGGAUGAUCAGCGACACUGGAACUGAGACACGGACCAGACUCCUACGGGAGGCAGCAGUGGGGAAUAUUGGACAAUGGGCGCAAGCCUGAUACAGCCAUACCGCGUGGGUGAAGAAGGCCUUCGGGGUGUAAAGCCCUUUUGUUGGGAAAGAAAAGCAGCAGGUUAAUACCCCGCUGUUCUGACGGUACCCAAAGAAUAAGCACCGGCUAACUUCGUG